AUUGAACGCUGGCGGCAGGCCUAACACAUGCAAGUCGAACGAGUGGCGGACGGGUGAGUAAUGUCUGGGAAACCGCCUGAUGGAGGGGGAUAACUACUGGAAACGGUAGCUAAUACCGCAUUCCAUCAGUUGUGCCCAGAUGGGAUGAGCGUGUUGGUGGGGUAACGGCUCACCAAGGCGACGAUCCCUCGCUGGUCUGAGAGGAGGACCAGCAACAUUGGAACGGAGACACGGUCCGGACUCCUACGGAAGGCAGCGGUGGGGAACAUUGCACAAGGGGGGCAGUCCUGAUACAGCCAGGCCGGGGGUAUGAAGAAGGCCUUCGGGUUGUAAAGUACUUUCAGCGGGGAGGCGUUACCCGCAGAAGAAGCACCGGCUAACUCCGUGCCAGCAGCCGCGGUAAUUC
rnacentral:rRNA from 1 species